rnacentral:misc_RNA from 1 species
GCGGUGUGUACAAAGGGCAGGGACGUAAUCAACGCAUGCUGAUGACAUGCGCUUACUAGGAAUUCCUCGUUGAAGAGCAAUAAUUGCAAUGCUCUAUCCCCAGCACGACAGAGUUUCAAAAGAUUACCCAGACCUUCCGGUCAAGGUUGUAUACUCGCUGCCUCUGUCAGUGUAGCGCGCGUGCAGCCCAGAACAUCUAAGGGCAUCACAGA